rnacentral:rRNA from 1 species
AGGGUCAUGUAGAGGAAGUAAAAGUAGAUCAAGGUAUCCGUAAGUGAACCUGAGGAAGGAUCAUUCACGUAUCUCAGACGGGGAGGGCGAGCCAUGCUCCGGGAACCGAAAGGCCCCGUGCAGCGGGUGAGCCCGUGCCGCUCAAACCUUCCAAACCCACUGGAAACAUUUGUCGGCGGAGGGCCCAGUCAAUGGGCCCCGAGCCGAACCCACAAACUCCAAGCAUUAAAAGAAAGACUAGCGGCCGUUGUGCCGUCUAAACUUUAACAACUUUCAACAACGGAUAUCUUGGCUCUCGCAUCGAUGAAGAACGCAGCGAAAUGCGAUAAGUAAUGAGAAUUGCAGAAUUCAGUGAAUCAUAGAAUCUUUGAACGCCCCUUGCGCUCCUUGGUAUUCCGAGGAGCACGCCUGUUUGAUCGUCAUGAAGUCAUCAACCUAUCCCGUUUUGCGACGGGUCCAGGUUGGAGCCUGGGGGCGGGCGGCCGCGAGGCUGCUCCCCUCAAAUGCAUCGGUUGGGCCUGCGGGUCGGACUCGGUUGGGCGUUGUACCAUCCUCGCUAUUAUUCCGAGAUGUUCCCCUAUUAAUGUGCCCUCCCACGACCGCCCCGUCUGGAGUCGGCGGUCAAAGCUUUUGAAGCACUUUGAAAUCUGACCUCAAAUCAGGUAGGACUACCCGCUGAACUUAAGCAUAUCAAUAAGCGGAGGA